ensembl:lncRNA
CCACAAAUAUCAUUGUUUUCCUGUACGUCUUUCCUUUUUUUUUUUCUUUCCCUCUACUAUGUGCCUGCCAGCUCUACAGUUAUUCUUUAUUUUCUUUCCCGUCCUUUUUUAAAAUGAAAGAGAUCGUUUUUAUAAUGGUAAAGAUUUGCUAACAGCGAAAUCUCCAUUUGCAGUCAGUGUAGCAACUUUUCCCCCUCUGUUAACUGCGAGUGUCAACAUUACCUUCUACAACAGCAUAAAUUGCUGAUUUCCAGCAUAUGGACAUGGAAUGCCAGAUAUGUUGUGGCUUAGCCGAGGCAUUAAGGAAAUCUCUCAGCGUUGCUGAGUGCUGCUGCUUUCUAGGGUCAAGGAAAUGAAGGACGUGAAUUUUGUGUUAGAGAAACAAAAGAAGAGUAUUGGGAUUUCGGUAAUAUCUGAGGGGAAAAAAAAAGGAGAAGAGGUGAAGUCCUAGCUCUCCACCAGCUCUCUGCAAUACCACGCUGCCAUGGAGCACAGCUGAGCCCUGUCAAAACAAUAUCAAUAAGUUCCAAUUGAAGAGCGGAUUCUUUUGCAAUUCAGGCAUGUGCCGGCGAUAACGGGCGAGUUGGCAUGAAGAGAGGCAGAGAUGGAUUAAUUAUGCAGAGAACAUGGAAAUUCUGCUUAUCAUCGGCUAGCAAAGGAGCCCAGCUCACAUAAUCAGCAAACGAAGGGAGAGAAAAAAAUAACAAUGCAAUGGCACCUUCCAGCCCAUCAUCAGGAUUUUUUCUACCCCCUUGUAAUUAAAAAAUAACAUACACUUAUAGCCCUAUCUCCUGUGCAGGCAAGGAGUGGAUGUCCACAAAAUAAUUGCACUGGGAUAUUAGAGCUGGGAACAAGGGCUGUCCAUUCCUACUAUCCCUUACCCUCUCCCUCCCUCUCUCCUCCGGCCUCUCCUAGGCACUUUCUUCCUGUCUGCAUUCUGAAUCAGAUGUGUGUCUCAGGUGACAUCCUAUCUCGGUGUCCAUAAGUCCCAAACCUCACUCUUAUCAAGAUUCAAGCAAACAUGUAUAUGAUAAAUAUUUGAAGUGCUGAAGCUGUGGGGUUUUAUCCUGAUCACCUAUGAGCUAUCUACUGAAAAUCAUUUUGAUGAAAACCUUUCCAAACAGUCUUUUUGAGUUACAAAAUAGACUGAUUAGAAGGGGGUUUUGUUGCCGUUCCUAUUUCACUUUGGCUCAGGGAAGAUUAUGUUACCUAUAAAGUGUGUUUUUUUCUUAUUCAUCUCAUGCUUUUUUAAAUACAAGGUAAAAAAAUACAGAAAUGAAACGGAUUUAUGGGUUAGAUGAAAUUAUGGUUGUUUAACAAGGUUCAGUAGCCAUAUAUUUGAGGAGAACUAUGCAAUAAAAAGAAGAAAUCUGUUUCUUGUAAAAAAAAAUAGAUUGAUUCUGCAUUUGUUAUUGUUCAUUUUACUAAUGGUAUAUCUCAUGACUGCAAAUGAAGAUGCAGACAGUGUAUUUUACAGUUUUGUUCCAUGAGCAGGCUGCUUCACAAACGAGUUUUGCAGCUUUUAUACCCUCCAAUUUUUGCCCAUCGCUCCGUGCAAGUGAUGUUCCCAGACCUCAUGGGCCCGUGUCCCUCCCUCUGGACUCAUUGGUCAGGAAGGGAAACGAAACGGAGAAUGAGGGCCAGAACGGCGGCAAUUAUGUGAGUAGGAAGGGUGAGCAGUAGGCCACGAUUAUAAAGCUGGCUGUCUCUGGAAAUGUAAUUUAUUCAUUGAGUUUCUCCAAAGCAGGGGACCAGUGUGGGGCGCAGUUUGCACACCAGUAAAUGAGCUCCUGGGGACUUUGAUGAUAACUGAUUCUCUACUAAGUUUGUAAAAAAUUUUUAAUCCCCAUUUGGAAACAGCAAUGAAGCUGGAAAAGAAAAAUCUGAUUCCAUUGCAGAGUUACGCAUGAUAAAUCAGUAAUAAAUUUUCAUCAGUAUCCUUAAGAAAAGAAAAGCAUUUACAAAACUGGCAUCUUAAAGACGAGAUACUGUUCCAAACUCUUCUCUGAGGCUCCAUAGUAUAAAUCCAGAAUAAAUCCAUUGAGCUCAUUACAUUAUAUAAUCAAAGCAGUGCAAAUGUAUACAUGCACACACAGUCACACAUGGUUUCAGGAAAAGGUUCGAGAGGGUGAGAUUUACGCUAUUUGCUACAGUAGAACAGCACUCUAUCUAAAAUCCUGUAUUAAAAUUAUCUCAAUGAGGUUUCUUUGUUUGUUAGAAAUUGGAGCAGAGCACCUUUUCUAGGGGUGCAGCUGCCGAGUCAGUCCCCCGGCAACAGUCACCUCAGCCUGGGCAAUUCCCCUGCCUGAGUCUCAUGGCUGUCAUCCACUUCUCCCAGUGAAGAUGGCAGGGAGGGCCAUGAAGACCUUUGUGAUCCCAUCUAGGCACUCUGUAAAUAGGGAACGGACUGAGACCUACAGCCAUUCCCAUCACAGCAUCAUUUUGAGAGUUGAUUGACUCUGGGAUUCAAUCCCAUAUCCCAUUACCUGUCUUAGACUUGUAGAGGAAGAAGAGAGGACUCCAACUUGAUGGAGCAAAUGUAGUUCAGGUGAGACUGUAAUUGGCAACAAAGGAAAUUAAAAAAAAAAAAAAAGAAGAAGAAGAAGAAGUGAGAUGCUAUGUUCAUAGCCACAGAGAGAUGUCAGAGGUAUGGCCACCAGAAGAAGAAAGCACUCUUCAUAUCCAGAAUGUGUAUUCAACACAAUAGAUAGAAGCUGGCAGUCGGUACUGCCUUCACUGCAGAGGCCGCAGUUGGUCACCUGGCUGGGUACCAGAAGAAAUCACAGUCAGGAUCUGAACUAGCUGCCAAUACAGACCUGGAGCCUAUAAACAGAUCUAC